rnacentral:rRNA from 1 species
GACGAACGCUGGCGGCGUGCUUAACACAUGCAAGUCGAACGGAAAGGCCCCUUUGGGGGUACUCGAGUGGCGAACGGGUGAGUAACACGUGAGUAACCUGCCCUUGACUUCGGGAUAACUUCAGGAAACUGGGGCUAAUACCGGAUAGGAAUCCUUGCUGCAUGGUGGGGGUUGGAAAGCUUCGGCGGUUUUGGAUGGACUCGCGGCUUAUCAGCUUGUUGGUGGGGUAGUGGCUUACCAAGGCUUUGACGGGUAGCCGGCCUGGGAGGGCGACCUGCCACAUUGGGACUGAGAUACGGCCCAGACUCCGACGGGAGGCAGCAGUGGGGAAUAUUGCACAAGGGGCGGAAGCCUGAUGCAGCAACGCCGCGUGCGGGAUGACGGCCUUCGGGUUGUAAACCGCAUUCAGCAGGGGCGAAGCUUGUGGUGACGGUACCUGCAGAAGAAGCACCGGCUAACUACGUG